AUGUGCUUUGCCAACUUACAUACUAAAAUUGGAAAGAUGUGGAAAAGAUUAUCAUGAUCUCUGGGCAAGAAUGACAAGCAAAUUCAUGCACUGUCUCAUAUUUUU